rnacentral:lncRNA from 1 species
GCAGAAUUAAAACGAGAGGGAGGCCUAAUCAAAGGAGGCAGAGGGAGCCCGCUGGACCUUUGGGUCUCAGUGUUGGAUGAUACUGCAGAAUCAGCUGGUCCGGAUACCACCUUGGCUGUGGCUGAGCUAGGUUUCACCUCGUGCUGCUGUGGGGCCAGUAGGGUCUUGAGCUCCCCGAAGCCUCCUUCCAAACCAUUCAUCAGAACCAGCUGUUUAAUGAGGGCAGGAUGGGGAUGUGAGACAGUGGCUGUGUGAGUCGAGGUCUCUAGAGCCAGGCUGUGUGAGAUUUGCGCGUGGGCCGAGGCAGUCGUCACUCGCUGGGUGUGGGCAGAGGGGGCCGAAGCAGUCGUCACUCGCUGGGUGUGGGCCGAGGGGGCCGAGGCGGUGGUCACUCCCUGGGUGUGGGCCGAGGGGACCGAGGCGGUCGUCACUCGCUGGGUGUGGGCCGAGGCGGUGGUCACUCCCUGGGUGUGGGCCGAGGGGACCGAGGCGGUCGUCACUCGCUGGGUGUGGGCCGAGGGGGCCGAGGCGGUCGUCACUCGCUGGGUGUGGGCCGAGGGGGCCGAGGCGGUCGUCACUCCCUGGGUGUGGGCCGAGGCGGUGGUCACUCCCUGGGUGUGGGCCGAGGGGGCCGAGUCGGUGGUCACUCCCUGCCUCUGAAGGUGCUCCAUAUGUUUCAUGAUCAGGUUGUCCUCCAGGUGCCUGAGCUCCUCCUGGUCCAUGAACAACACCUUAUCCCGCUGUCUGAGUGGGGCGGGGCGUUUCAGAACAACAGCAGGGGCUUCUGCCACCUGGGUGGGUUUCCUAGUUGGAUGGCUGGUUGCCGAAGCAAGGGCGGAGUGGUAUGACUGGGCCACCAUGCCGGGAAAGUGUUUGAGCUUCACCUCCAUAUACUUACUCCUCACCUUCUCCUCCAGCCAGCAUCUCUCCGGGGUCAAGCUCCUCACAGGGGAUGUCUGGUUCAGAGAGUGUCCGGUCUGGGAAGGUUUGGUAGCGUGGCUCUCGGCUGGCUGGAGCACAGUGCUGGUGGUAGUCUUCUCUACAGGUCUGGUGGCUGGUGAGCUGUCCUUCGCUACGGCUGCAGUAGCCUGCGGCUCCUCUGCUGGCCUUGUAGUCUUGUUCUUCAACCUGAACUCUGUGUUGCGGUGCGCUCGUCCAGAGAACACCGCCUGACGGUCGGUCACAUUGCCCAUGACCUUCCCGUCGCCUGCGCUGCCGGAGGUAGGGAGCUGCUGGAGCGCAAGGUCGCCCACGUACCUGGUGACCAGCUUGGGGAAGCCCCAGAGGCGCUGGCUCUGCUUGCGGCAAACAUGAGACUCAAGCUUCUCUCGGACCUCCUGGCAAAUGAAGGGGAUCCUGGCGCCCUGAGUGUACAUCAUGAUGGACUUGGGUUUACCCUCUAACCCUGGAGACUGGCAUGGAGCCCUGGAGGGAGAUGGAGGUUUGGCACCCUGAGGGCAGAAAGCUGGAACACUGGCAGUUUUCCUGGUGAUCUUUGAUCCUUUCUUAGCCUGAGAGGUGGUUGAGGUGUUGAACUGGGUGGUAGUGGUGGUGGUGGUAGUGGUGGUGGAUGCAGAGGUGGAGGUUGAGCUGGUGGUGCCUCCUCCCUUCAGUCUCUCGGGGAGCAGCCACCUAAUGAUGGAGAUCAUCAGCACGGCAAUCCUCCAGCGCUUACGGGCCACCUUAGAUUAUAGAUUAAAUUAGAUUAAUUCACCUCCAAGGAGGAAAUUAGACAGUUAGACAAACACCUAACCAGCAACUCAUCAACUAGACGUUUAACAGAAGUGGGUGUCUCAAAUGGCACUCUAUAUCUUAUAUAGUGCACUAUGUAGGAAAGGGUCAGUAAAAAUGAUUUUUUUUUUACAGACCUUCUGUGUCACGUUGAGUUCCAAGUGUCUGCGGUACCAGCGGCACAGGACGGCUGGGUCUCCUUUCCUCGGCACGACCUCAAACAGCUGUCUUACCAUUGGAAUAUGUCUCGCAGUCGGAGUCCUGGAGCGGUCUGUGCGGCUGGCAGCUCUGUCUUUACAGCCAGUGACAGUAGAAGCAGCAGCAACAGGCACAGCGACAGGAGAGUCCAGUUUGGCCUCCAUCAGAGUCCAGUUUAGCCUCCAACCAAUAGCAGUAAGCUGACGAGGGCAGGGCUGGUAUUCCAGAGGUUGAGGGGAGUCAGAAGGAGUCACGUACCUAGAGGAGUUGCAGGAGGAGCUACAGGAGGUGUGUGUGGAGCCAUGGUGACUGUCCUUAACAUCACCACCUCCUGGUAGCUUGAGGCAGGGCUUAGCCAGUGGGAUAGAACUACCUGAAGAACAGUGACUAUCUGGACCACCGCCUUUCAGGAAUUUAAACCUGUCAGGUGGAUGCCGUUUCCGCCGUUUAUUGCAGGUUCGGCAUGUGCUGCAGUCACUAAAUCUGGAGGAUCUAGAAUGUGGUCUAGAAUGUGAUCUAGAAGAUGAUCUGGAUGAGCAUGAGUCAAAGCACGAUUGGGGGUCAGCGCAGGAUUCCAGGUCCACCUCAGAGGUGAGGUCCUCCAUAUGUAACGUUAGUUCCUCCAGUCGUUGGAGGUAGCUGUAGUAGAGAUGAACUCCCUCUGUGAAGUUAUUGACCAGCGCUCUGCAAGAGAACAUUUAAGACUGGGUUUAAAUUAAGUUCAGAGCCAUUCACUUUCAAGAUUUUUACAAAUGUUUUAACCACAUGAAAG